GAGAAAUACAGCUCGGGAUUUAUAACUGAUGAGCAGAGAGAAAAGUGUCCGUGCACAGAAGGUGCUAAGAGAAGACGUAAUGCAUAAGAAGGACAUCCUGCCACAUGGAGAUAUGAGGAUUUCUGUUUGAGGGAGGCCUGAGUCAUCACAGACCAGGGGAGGGGAUAAGAAAUUUGAUGACAGACUGAUGAAGAGAGAAUUUUCACUAAACCGAUUUAAAAGGAUCCCUGCCACAACCAAGCAAGGCAGGUCAAGGUCAGCUCUCAAUGAAGAGUCUGGGGAGCAAAGAUGGCGCAGAGACCUGAGCUGCGCCAACAAAGAUCAAGUGUUUGUUGAGAUAAAGGAGGUGGCGACUCUUCAAAUCUUAAACUCUGGAGAUGACGGAUAUCAACAAACUAACAAGCACGCAAAGGAAAGUUAUUGAGUAGAAGAUUGAAAAUGUC
rnacentral:lncRNA from 1 species